UAGUGUUUUCUUUGUGUGCUGUUUUCUGUUUGUUUUGCGACCAGUGAAGACAACGCCCAGCCUGGAAACUUUAUUUGGCUGCAGCAGAAUGCAGCUCCAGCUGGAAUAUGUUCAUCAUGUGGGGAGCCCUUCAAGUGUACAGCAUCCAACUAUCUGUACACCUGCCUCUCCAGCAACAGACAGCACUCAGGAAAACAGCAUUUUUCAGCAUGUGUUUGAAUGCCUUCACUUGUUUUUGUUUUCUAUUUAGAAAUAAAUCAGCAAAUGAUCUGCUUACUUUGAGUCAAUGAGUGUGCAAUUAUAUAUGAUCCAAUUGAACAUUUUCAGCCCUGAAGGCACAUGGACCCCAUGCAUAAUUCCCCAUUCUGUUUUGAGACUAGGGUCUAUUUGAAUGAUCUAAACAGAGGCAGAUCUAAAUACCGCCGUCCUGAAAUCUCUAGAUGUUUUCCAGCAGACCCAUCAUCUGUAGUAAUGUUAAGUGGGUCAAUAAAUGAGACUUGAGUGGAAAACACCAGCAAGAUAAUUGGAGAUGUUUU